AGAGUUUGAUCAUGGCUCAGAAUCAACGCCUGGCGGCGUGGCCUACACAUGCAAGUCGAGCGCGAAAAGGGGGUUUCGGCCCUGAGUAGAGCGGCGGACGGGUGAGUAACACGUGGGCAACCUACCUCCGGGCGGGGAAUAACUUCGGGAAACCGGGGCUAAUUCCGCAUAACAUUUCGGGCUCUCAAGAGUCUGUAAUCAAAGCUGGGGACCCUUUCGGGGCCUGGCGCCUGGUGAGGGACCCGCGUCCGAUUAGCUUGUUGGUGAGGUAAUGGCUCACCAAGGCUGCGAUCGGUAGCCGGCCUGAGAGGGCGGACGGCCACACUGGGACUGAGACACGGCCCAGACUCCUACGGGAGGCAGCAGUGGGGAAUUUUUGUCAAUGGGGGAAGCCCUGAACAAGCAACGCCGCGUGGAGGAUGAAGGCCUUCGGGUCGUAAACUCCUGUCGGAGGGGACGAAUGCGAUUGAGGUUAAUACCCUCAGUUGUUGACGGUACCCUAUGAGGAAGCCCCGGCUAACUCCGUGCCAGCAGCCGCGGUAAUACGGGGGGGGCAAGCGUUGUUCGGAAUUACUGGGCGUAAAGGGCGCGUAGGCGGCCCGGCUAGUCCCUUGUGAAAUCCCACGGCUCAACUGUGGAACUGCAGGGGAUACUGCCAGGCUUGAGUCCGGGAGAGGGGAGUGGAAUUCCCAGUGUAGCGGUGAAAUGCGUAGAUAUUGGGAGGAACACCGGUGGCGAAGGCGGCUCCCUGGACCGGUACUGACGCUGAGGUGCGAAAGCUAGGGGAGCAAACGGGAUUAGAUACCCCGGUAGUCCUAGCUGUAAACGUUGAGCACUUGGUGUGGCGGGUAUCGACCCCUGCCGUGCCGAAGCUAACGCAUUAAGUGCUCCGCCUGGGGAGUACGGUCGCAAGGCUGAAACUCAAAUGAAUUGACGG
rnacentral:rRNA from 1 species